rnacentral:rRNA from 1 species
GACAAACCGGAGGAAGGUGGGGAUGACGKCAAAUCAUCAUGCCCCUUAUGACCUGGGCUACACACGUGCUACAAUGGGAAGUACAACGAGUUGCGAAGUCGCGAGGCUAAGCUAAUCUCUUAAAGCUUCUCUCAGUUCGGAUUGCAGGCUGCAACUCGCCUGCAUGAAGCCGGAAUCGCUAGUAAUCGCGGAUCAGCACGCCGCGGUGAAUACGUUCCCGGGCCUUGUACACACCGCCCGUCACACCACGAGAGUUUGUAACACCCGAAGUCGGUGAGGUAACCUUUUUGGAGCCAGCCGCCUAAGGUGGGAUAGAUGAUUGGGGUGAAGUCGUAACAAGGUAGCCGUAUCGGAAGGUGCGGCUGGAUCACCUCCUUUCUAAGGAA